UCAGGACGAACGCUGGCGGCGUGCCUAAUACAUGCAAGUCGAACGAACUCUGGUAUUGAUUGGUGCUUGCAUCAUGAUUUACAUUUGAGUGAGUGGCGAACUGGUGAGUAACACGUGGGAAACCUGCCCAGAAGCGGGGGAUAACACCUGGAAACAGAUGCUAAUACCGCAUAACAACUUGGACCGCAUGGUCCGAGUUUGAAAGAUGGCUUCGGCUAUCACUUUUGGAUGGUCCCGCGGCGUAUUAGCUAGAUGGUGGGGUAACGGCUCACCAUGGCAAUGAUACGUAGCCGACCUGAGAGGGUAAUCGGCCACAUUGGGACUGAGACACGGCCCAAACUCCUACGGGAGGCAGCAGUAGGGAAUCUUCCACAAUGGACGAAAGUCUGAUGGAGCAACGCCGCGUGAGUGAAGAAGGGUUUCGGCUCGUAAAACUCUGUUGUUAAAGAAGAACAUAUCUGAGAGUAACUGUUCAGGUAUUGACGGUAUUUAACCAGAAAGCCACGGCUAACUACGUGCCAGCAGCCGCGGUAAUACGUAGGUGGCAAGCGUUGUCCGGAUUUAUUGGGCGUAAAGCGAGCGCAGGCGGUUUUUUAAGUCUGAUGUGAAAGCCUUCGGCUCAACCGAAGAAGUGCAUCGGAAACUGGGAAACUUGAGUGCAGAAGAGGACAGUGGAACUCCAUGUGUAGCGGUGAAAUGCGUAGAUAUAUGGAAGAACACCAGUGGCGAAGGCGGCUGUCUGGUCUGUAACUGACGCUGAGGCUCGAAAGUAUGGGUAGCAAACAGGAUUAGAUACCCUGGUAGUCCAUACCGUAAACGAUGAAUGCUAAGUGUUGGAGGGUUUCCGCCCUUCAGUGCUGCAGCUAACGCAUUAAGCAUUCCGCCUGGGGAGUACGGCCGCAAGGCUGAAACUCAAAGGAAUUGACGGGGGCCCGCACAAGCGGUGGAGCAUGUGGUUUAAUUCGAAGCUACGCGAAGAACCUUACCAGGUCUUGACAUACUAUGCAAAUCUAAGAGAUUAGACGUUCCCUUCGGGGACAUGGAUACAGGUGGUGCAUGGUUGUCGUCAGCUCGUGUCGUGAGAUGUUGGGUUAAGUCCCGCAACGAGCGCAACCCUUAUUAUCAGUUGCCAGCAUUAAGUUGGGCACUCUGGUGAGACUGCCGGUGACAAACCGGAGGAAGGUGGGGAUGACGUCAAAUCAUCAUGCCCCUUAUGACCUGGGCUACACACGUGCUACAAUGGAUGGUACAACGAGUUGCGAACUCGCGAGAGUAAGCUAAUCUCUUAAAGCCAUUCUCAGUUCGGAUUGUAGGCUGCAACUCGCCUACAUGAAGUCGGAAUCGCUAGUAAUCGCGGAUCAGCAUGCCGCGGUGAAUACGUUCCCGGGCCUUGUACACACCGCCCGUCACACCAUGAGAGUUUGUAACACCCAAAGUCGGUGGGGUAACCUUUUAGGAACCAGCCGCCUAAGGUGGGACAGAUGAUUAGGGUGAAGUCGUA
rnacentral:rRNA from 2 species